rnacentral:rRNA from 1 species
GACGAACGCUGGCGGCGUGCCUAAUACAUGCAAGUAGAACGCAGUUGCGAACGGGUGAGUAACGCGUAGGUAACUGCCUCAUAGCGGGGGAGAAAUAUUGGAAACGAUAGCUAAUACCGCAUACUGUGAGCCGGACCUGUGUGGUAUUAGCUGGUUGGUGAGGUAAAGGCUCACCAAGGCGACGAUACAUAGCCGACCUGGGAGGUGGUCCGGCCACUCUUGGACUGCGACACGGCCCUGACACCGAGGAGAAGGAGCAGGAGGGAAACGUCGGGCAUAGACAGAAGUAUGACCGAGCAACUCCACGUGAGUGAAGAAGGUUUUCGAAUCGUAAAGAUCUGUUGUUAGAGAAGCGGUAACUAGCCAGAAAGGGACGGCUAACUACGUGCCAGCAGCCGCGGUAAUUC